rnacentral:rRNA from 1 species
UAGGGAAUAUUGCACAAUGGGCGAAAGCCUGAUGCAGCAACGCCGCGUGCGCGAAGAAGGCCUUCGGGUUGUAAAGCGCUUUUCUGGGAGAUGAGGAAGGACAGUAUCCCAGGAAUAAGGCUCGGCUAACUACGUGCCAGCAGCCGCGGUAAAACGUAGGAGCCAAGCGUUAUCCGAAUUCACUGGGCGUAAAGCGCGUGCAGGCGGCCUGGUAAGUUGGAUGUGAAAUCUCCUGGCUCAACUGGGAGAGGCCGUUCAAUACUGUCAGGCUAGAGGGCGACAGAGGGAGGUGGAAUUCCGGGUGUAGUGGUGAAAUGCGUAGAUAUCCGGAGGAACACCAGAGGCGAAGGCGACCUCCUGGGUCGCACCUGACGCUCAGACGCGAAAGCUAGGGGAGCGAACG